rnacentral:rRNA from 2 species
GGGCCUGCGGAGGGAUCAUUACCGAGUUUACAACUCCCAAACCCCUGUGAACAUACCACUUGUUGCCUCGGCGGAUCAGCCCGCUCCCGGUAAAACGGGACGGCCCGCCAGAGGACCCCUAAACUCUGUUUCUAUAUGUAACUUCUGAGUAAAACCAUAAAUAAAUCAAAACUUUCAACAACGGAUCUCUUGGUUCUGGCAUCGAUGAAGAACGCAGCAAAAUGCGAUAAGUAAUGUGAAUUGCAGAAUUCAGUGAAUCAUCGAAUCUUUGAACGCACAUUGCGCCCGCCAGUAUUCUGGCGGGCAUGCCUGUUCGAGCGUCAUUUCAACCCUCAAGCACAGCUUGGUGUUGGGACUCGCGUUAAUUCGCGUUCCUCAAAUUGAUUGGCGGUCACGUCGAGCUUCCAUAGCGUAGUAGUAAAACCCUCGUUACUGGUAAUCGUCGCGGCCACGCCGUUAAACCCCAACUUCUGAAUGUUGACCUCGGAUCAGGUAGGAAUACCCGCUGAACUUAAGCAUAUCAAG